rnacentral:lncRNA from 1 species
UUUUUCUCCUUCAGCGUUGUCUUGAUGUCUUUUCCCUGGCUCUGUGGAUCCUCUGGAAGGUCUCACAGCUGCACCAUCAAACAAUUCAGAUACUGGAAAAUAAUAUUUCCCACCUAAAAUUAGAUGUGAGUUUGUGUGGUGGUUUGGAAAUGCUUCCUUUGCAAUUUCUGUAAGUGCCUCUAUAGAGAAUAUAGGCUGAAACUGCAGAACAGCCUGAGAAGCUUAACUCUCCUGUGGCUUCAGCAGGAGCCAUUCCUCCUAAUUUCUGACUUUCAGAGAGCGAACCUGGGUGUACUCAGAGAGGAGGAGACAGAGACCCUGGUGCAUCUCUUCUCAUCCAACUGAUCAAAGGAAGAGUGGUGGGUGGGGAUGAGGCUGACUUCUGAGCUCCCUUUUCAAGUUUAAUUUUUUGCUGUGUCUCACUUUUUCUUUCAGAGCCAUCUGCAUUUGCUAAGGAAGGAAUAAUGCUCUUGCUUUGUAAUUAAAUGUGCCUGACGUGCCUGGCUCCCAGAGCACUUGCAGCCAGGGAGCACAGAACGGGAGAGUGACAGCUGUGAAGAAGCGCUGAUGGUGGCCACGUUAGGAUGAUUUGUAGGGUUGGUGACAGCAAGAGGCCUCUGCAGCCCACGGGAAGCCACAGAGCUUCAGAGACUGUAAAGCAACUGGCUCAGAAUCGAGUCCUGAGGUCUUUACGCAGUUCUUAACCAGUCCUUGUGCAAGAGAAGAGCAUCUUGGGUGCAGAUAUUACAGAAGCCUGCAAACCUGAAGAACACCAAGAGAGUGAACACAGGACCUGCACCCAUCGCAGCGUUCAGCUGCCAGACCUUCACAUCCCAGGAUGGCCCCUGUAAUAGCUGCACACGUGGAACGAGAUUUACUCAGUGAAUGGUGCUGCUGAUGGAUGCUGAGCGUCGUUUGGGGACAAAGAGGUGCAGAUGUCUCGGCUGUAUGGAGCAGCAAUGGGGGGGGACAGGACUCUCGAUUAUUUGUUCAAAGUUGCCUCUGCAGUGGACGGUCUUAGGAAGCCACGGCCAGGUGAUGAAUGGUCGGUUUCCUGCAGCUAGCAUAAAGCCGGCGCAUAUUCCUCCUUGUGUGCCCUGGGUAAUUUUCCAGAAAUUAAUGUUUGUGCUAUUUCUGAUAUAGAUUGUAGCAGACUUGCUGGGUGACCUGCUGCUGCCCAUGGCCAGUACCAACGGCCAGGACAUCCAUCGUGAGCGCAGUUCCCUCCUGUGAAAUGGCUUUGCCCUUCAUCUCCAAUGCACGGCGAGUUUGUAACUGUGAACUGCAGGGAACACUGCGCUUAAAGCUGGGAGGAUGCAGGGGAGGAACCCAGCUACGGGGUUCCUUUUUUUUUUUUUUUUUUUUGGUAAAUGACAGUGUGACAGUGAUAAGUACACAUCUGAGGUGGCAUUCAUGCAGCGGAUUUGAGCUAUUCUAAAGCAUCUAAACAAGAGAUGCCUGACUGAUCCCCAAACUUCUGUUCCCAGCCAUUGCCCUCUGACUCACUGGCUUGUUUUGGUUUGGUGCAAAUCUCUCUCCUCUUUCCAUUCUUCUCAGCCAGCAUCUUUCAGCUGGUUUUGACACUUCUUAAAUUUAGGAUGCAGGUGGACUGCCAGGCACCGCUCUCCAUACAGGUACAGAAGAGCGAGGUCAAAACACGGUACCAGCUCCACUUUGUGCACCUUCUCCUGGUGAGCCCUCCCAGUGCUCCUUCUGCAAGUGUUUUUUUUUUAUACCCCUGCUGGGGGUUAUAAAAAAUGCAUUUUUCUUGGCUUAAAAAAGUAAAUUUAGGCACUACUUUUUGUGUUUUAAGACUCUAAGAAAUAUGUGUACUUUGAUUUAAAAAUGCCAUUGUGUCACAAUUUAUGCCCCCUUGAGCCUAGCUCUUUAUGAGUUUUUCAUACUGGAAUAUUGCUGUUAUUUAUUAAAUCCCUGAUAAAGCUGCACUUAAUACUCCCAUAAUAGAAUAUGCAUCUUUAAAUCUGCUGAAUAUGUGGUUUGUCACUGAUGCAAAGUGUACUGAUUAAUUAAAUAAGACUUAGAGAUUCAUAAAGCAAUUGCUGCAAAAUGAAAUGUUAUUUACAUCUAAGUAUAUUAUCAAUUAUGGAAACUUAAUUUUUCCCUUACACAAUCUGUCUUGAAAUUCCACUGAUAGUGUAGUAGUCUCUGAUGAUUUAAUGAUUUAAAACUAAUUUUCAGUAUUGAGCACGCUUGCAAAAAAUCAGCAGUGUUUUUCAAAACAAAUAAAGUUGAUAUUUUGCAUAAUGGCA